AACGAACGCUGGCGGCAUGCCUAACACAUGCAAGUCGAACGAGAUCUUCGGGUCUAGUGGCGCACGGGUGCGUAACGCGUGGGAAUCUGCCCUUUGGUUCGGAAUAACAGUUGGAAACGACUGCUAAUACCGGAUGAUGACGAAAGCCCAAAGAUUUAUCGCCAGAGGAUGAGCCCGCGUAGGAUUAGCUAGUUGGUGUGGUAAAGGCGCACCAAGGCGACGAUCCUUAGCUGGUCUGAGAGGAUGAUCAGCCACACUGGGACUGAGACACGGCCCAGACUCCUACGGGAGGCAGCAGUGGGGAAUAUUGGACAAUGGGCGAAAGCCUGAUCCAGCAAUGCCGCGUGAGUGAUGAAGGCCUUAGGGUCGUAAAGCUCUUUUACCCGGGAUGAUAAUGACAGUACCGGGAGAAUAAGCUCCGGCUAACUCCGUGCCAGCAGCCGCCGUAA
rnacentral:rRNA from 1 species